rnacentral:rRNA from 1 species
CCUACGGGGGGCAGCCGUAGGGGAUUUUCGUCAGUUUGUGCAGGCCCGAACGAGCGAUGCCGCGUGAGUGAAGAAGGCCUUCGGGUCGCAAAGCUCUGUUGCGGGGGAAAAAAGGCAGCAUCAGGAAAUGGGUGCUGACUGAUGGUGCCCCGCCAGAAAGUCACGGCUAACUACGUGCCAGCAGCCGCGGUAAUACGUAGGUGGCGAGCGUUAUCCGGAAUGAUUGGGCGUAAAGGGUGCGCAGGCGGUCCUGCAAGUCUGGAGUGAAACGCAUGAGCUCACAUCAUGCAUGGCUUUGGAAACUG